GUGCUCACUUUGGCAGCACAUAUACUGAAAUUGAAACAAUACAGAGGUUAGCAUGGCCCCUGCACAAGGAUGACAUGCAGAUUCAUGAAGUGUUCCAUAUAAAA